rnacentral:rRNA from 1 species
AGCUAUAAGUUCUCUGUAGCGCAGCUAACGCAUUAAGCACUCCGCCUGGGGAGUACGACCGCAAGGUUGAAACUCAAAGGAAUUGACGGGGGCCCGCACAAGCGGUGGAGCAUGUGGUUUAAUUCGAAGCAACGCGAAGAACCUUACCAGGUCUUGACAUACUCGUGCUAUCCUUAGAGAUAAGGAGUUCCUUCGGGACACGGGAUACAGGUGGUGCAUGGUUGUCGUCAGCUCGUGUCGUGAGAUGUUGGGUUAAGUCCCGCAACGAGCGCAACCCUUAUUACUAGUUGCCAUCAUUAAGUUGGGCACUCUAGUGAGACUGCCGGUGAUAAACCGGAGGAAGGUGGGGAUGACGUCAAAUCAUCAUGCCCCUUAUGACCUGGGCUACACACGUGCUACAAUGGAUGGUACAACGAGUCGCCAACCCGCGAGGGUGCGCUAAUCUCUUAAAACCAUUCUCAGUUCGGAUUGCAGGCUGCAACUCGCCUGCAUGAAGUCGGAAUCGCUAGUAAUCGCGGAUCAGCACGCCGCGGUGAAUACGUUCCCGGGCCUUGUACACACCGCCCGUCACACCACGGAAGUUGGGAGUACCCAAAGUAGGUUGCCUAACCG